AAGUUUUCGUGUACCUACUACCUAGCCCAGACCUGGCCAACUAGGUGCUUGUGACAAUAGAAAUAAAAUUGUCUAAUCCAAAUUCCAAUACUGCAAGUUCGCAAGCUAUUGUCUUCUGAAGCUAAACAAUUUCUGUUGCAAGAUUUUGUAAAUCUUCAAGAUAUUGAUGCCUUCGCCAGAUCCAAUUCUUUGCUGCUAUCUAUUUUGCGGCACCACAGCAAGAAAAUGCUGCCACUUAUGAUUUUGUGGUAAUCGCCACUUAGUUCUAAUGUAGGAGGACAAUGUAAGAUUGAUAGAUUCGAGGUUAAUCCCUAUCCUCUGUUUUGGAAACCUACAAGAGAUUACUGGAAUUGAAGACUGAUAAUUUGUGAAGGAGGAUGAGGAGGGCUCUGGUCGAACGGGGACUUGGAAGGUGGAUUAUCUGAGAAAAACUACUUACUUUUGGAGGGUCAUGAGGAGUCUAUCCGGAAAUCCUGCUAUGACUAAUCGCUCCCUAGCAAAACUGGCCUCGUACUCUUCUCUCUUCUUCACCGGCCAGGUGUUGUUUAUGUUCGCGUAGUUGAUGUCCGCUGUGGUACGUUGUUGCAGCCUAUGCUGGUGAAAGCUCUUAUUGCAUGAAGUGAAACUGGCUGUUCCUUGGUCCUGCUGUCAUGUUAUGGAAAUUGCAUCAUUAUUUUGUUAAA